UACGGGGGGGGCAAGCGUUGUUCGGAAUCAUUGGGCGUAAAGGGCGCGUAGGUGGUUUUGUAUGUCUACCGUGAAAGCAUACAGCUCAACUGUAUUUUGUCGGUAGAAACUGCAGGACUUGAGGCUGGGAGGGGCUGGUGGAAUUCCCUGUGUAGCGGUGAAAUGCGUAGAGAUGGGGGAGAACACUCGUGGCGAAGGCGGCCAGCUAGACCAGUUCUGACACUGAGGCGCGACAGCGUGGGGAGCAAACAGG
rnacentral:rRNA from 1 species